rnacentral:lncRNA from 1 species
UCCCGCUGCUAACUGCAUUUUGCAACUACCCAUUAUAAAAUAAAAACAAGUUAUAAAGAUAGAGGGACAAAAAGAUGUUUUGAUUUAGUUUUUGUUUUCUUUCCUCAAGCCCUCAAUGAAAAAUACAUAUAGCCGGUAAUUGCAAGCAGAAUGAAGAUAAACAAAAGUACUGCAGAUAGUUUUUAUUGCUGCUGCUGUCGCUGCGGCUUCUCCUCGAGCCAAAUGUUUUUCCGACGGAAGCUGUCAUUGAAUAAUCUCGAAAAGUCCGUGUACCAAACCCUGCAUUAAAAAGUCGUCGCAAAAAAAAAGUCAGGUCCGCCUACCGUUCGAUACGUACGUCCCACAUUGAGGCGAUGGGUGUAUUAAGCGGUGACCAUAUAUGAUCAUCGUCGUUCGAAAGCUAAGAUCACCCAACCCUAUCUGUCCCCACUCUACCACCUCUACCUUCUCCUCGUCCAGCCUGAUCGCAAUGUAUAUGUUACAGUCAGAUAUGAGUCACCAAUGUCACCGCUAUAUAUAGAAAUGAUUGUAAAACAGUAACAUGAACGACAAUCGCACGGUUAUGCGGUAAUGUUUAUCCAUUUACGUUUUUUAAUUUUUCCUUUUUUCUUCUCACGUCUGGACCCCGCGCAUAUUCGCGUCGGCUGGCGGCGACAGACGCGCAUCGUCAUUGCUAGACCGGAAGCAGCGUGAAAGGUCGUACCGUUAUUCUAAACGCAUACAUGCCGCGCGUGCGAUGCUGCACCAUACGUAUUGCGCAACCACCGAGCGGAUACGCGAUGCAAUUGGACCACGAGGGUCCCACUAUCUCUAAUGGACCGCUGCUUACGGCAGAUGAGAAACGCAGACGAGAAGGGUUAAUUCGUCAAGGGCUGUAUAUUUUAGACCGUAUAGGAAUGCAAUAUAUAUAAUGUACUGUGCUUUUCUCACUGGAGGCUCUCCCCUUGAGUGAAAACAGCUGCUUGUCUGUAAGGUGAAAUUUUGUUAAGAACAAGUAAACCACAAAAGACAGAACGUUACGAGAUUGCGAGAGUCAGAUCGCGUGCUUUUAAUGCAGGUAAGAAAACGAGCCAUUUGGGGAAUAAGAUUGAAUGCCCCAUCAGCUCUAAGAAUAGAUAGUACACCUGUAAGUAGUGCACGGUGCGGUAAGUGAUUAACUUUAGUGUGUGGCCCACUCCGCCCUCAUCCAGUUAGUCGCUUUAGGCGCGUAUUCUGACUACUACCCUACCCUCCGUCGUAGGAGAAAGUCGAUAAGUGACUCACGGGUACGUACACGCCCGCGGCAACCUGGCAGGCUUAAUUAAUGAACAAGCAGCGUAUUCUGUGUACGUAACAUCGCGCUGUCUGUCCUGGCUUCCGUUGGCGUAAUAUAAUUAGUCGCAUCAUCAUUCUGCUCGUUCAGUAAUACCUCGCGCAAGAUGUGAGCAGAUUCGACUCUGCGAGACGUAAUGUGUUUUUCUAUGAUAUUUGUCUGGGUUGGGUAGUAACUAAUUUAAAAAAAAAUUAAAAGUUAAUUAAUAAAAUUGGAAAGUUAAUAGUUUUCGACUUAAUUAAAUGAGUUAAUUUUUAACUUAAAUUAAUUAUUUUAAAAAUACGUAAAGUUCAAUUUAUCAAGUUUGUUUAUAAGCCUAAAACUUAUCUAUGGAAAAGAAACCGAUUGUCGAUUCUGUUAAGAUAUAAUUUAUGUAAAUGUAUGACUGUACAAAUAUGACUAUAAAAUAUGACCUCAGAAAGGAACGUCAGUAUGUAUUAUUUUAAUCAUCUCGUAGGCGGUAUUUUUACGUUUAAACUUCCAAUGACGUAUGAACCUAACACUUGGGCAAAAUUAAAGCUCCCAUACGUCUCGCGGUGUCAACAGUUUCUAUCUCGCGAAGAUAACAGUGAAGGAAGGCAGCUCCUUCGUGCUGUCAACCUAUUAUCACCGAGAAACAGGAGUUACAUCACUGGGCCGGGUCAAACGCCCUUGCAUCCGGCGUGCGACACCGACGUUAGUAUCUUCGUGAUCGAGAGCGAGCGAGAGAAGGUGUGAUCGGCGAUGGCGACGGCGACGACGACAACGACGACGACGAGGUGUAGCCGGUCCUGCCUCGCUCGUUACCUUGUAUGGAUCAGCCUCGCGCGCCGUCGUCGUCCCGCAGAGAAGAUUAAAAAAAAAAGAUGAAAAAAAAAAAGAAAAGGUCGCACACGCGCUAUCGGCCCGCGCACGCUUGCGGUUUUGCGUGAUAACGCGGUUUCCCCGCGUAUACAAACGCCGGCAUACCCGCAGUUUUUGCCGUAAUUACUGCAGCAUGCCUGUGGCAUACACGACUCCCCGGCUGCGUGCACGCCGAGAUCAUUUUCAUCGAUGCCUCCGCGGAAAUGCUUCCCGCACAGUAACUUAAUCAAUUAUAUUGAUCAACAGUUUCAGCGAACGCGGAUACGAUUACAGGAACAGGAACGUUCUCCGCAGACGUGUGGCGAGAAAUAGCUAGGAAACAGCUGUCAGCCUAGCAGAGCUGCAAAUAAUAGAAAGAUUGUUAGUUUGAAUUAUUUGCAAUAUUUUGCAAAAUCUAGAGGGAAAAAAGAUCACCAAUUUAUUUCUUUAAUCACCUAAGCAGAUUAUGUUUUUAUCAGUUAUUAAUAUAGUGCAGUCUUUAAUUUGCGAGAAAUAAGCAGGUGCCGGUUUUAGAAGGCGUAUUACCAGUAUUGCCGAUCUUUUUCCAUUACAACUUGCAGUUUGUAUCGUUUACACGAGGCUAAAAGACUGCGAUGCGUCAGAGGCUUGACGUAAGACGAAAAGCCUUUCGUCAAUCUUCUUGUCGUGAGAGAUUGCAUAAUAUCCGACUGAAGAACAAUCCACGUGGAUAUACGCUUGGCUUAAUGCCUCACGUCUUAUUGUCCUUCGUUCGCCUUGCUAGCGGUGGCUCCGCGAGUGUAAACGCUAACCGCGGGUGACAUCACGUUCACUUUAAAGCCCGAUCCGAGCACGUUUCCGUCCACCCGGCAGGAAAAAGUAACGCUGGCGUCAUUAAGCGACUGCGUCGUGAUAAUUAGCGAUUGAUCUGUAUCAACCGAACGUCCAGUGCCGCCUUCAUCGCGCCGGGAACAACUCUCUCGCGAUACGCGCCCGAUAUGUUAUGCUGCAUGGCGGAAGUGUGUGACAUCAUCGCGUGUUUAAAGCUUUGGCUGCCAAAUCAAAAUUAAAGAAAUCAUUCUCAAACUAGAAUGAGCAUAAUUGAUCUUUACUUGAUGAAAAUCUUGGCUGAUAACUGCAAUGUUUUCAAUGUCUUCAUUUUCUUCUUUAUAAUAAAUUUAGAGAUGAUAAAGGCUAUGUAAGAAAAAAACGUUCUAAAAAAUAUUAAUUAGAGAAAAAUAAAAACUAGCUCAGUGAUAUAUUUGACGAAGAUUUGUAUUCCAUCUAAUCCAGAUUUGCGGAACGAUUACAUAACGUGUUGUUUUAUCUCGUGUAUAUAAAAUAUCAAUUUGAGAUCGCAGAAUAUGCAUACAGGAUAGUUAUUUGCAUAAAUAUAUCUUAUAAUGCCUUCUUUAUGUCGAUCACGCCAAGUUUUUAUUGCAGAAAAAGAGACGUUACUUAUUUGUCUUUUGUUACUACUAUGCGUUUUUAUUACAUUGAUACAUGAAAAGAACAAUUUUGAAAUGCAGAUCUAAAGAUAAUUAUAUUUGACUCUUAAGCUAUAUGCUAGAAUGUCAAAACUUUUUUCUUUUUAAUACAAAAACAUAAUCCAGUUGAUUAAUCAAUGAAAGCUCAUUCGGAUCAUCUCAUGUACAUUUAGAUAGAUGCUGUUAAAUGCGCUGUUAAAGAUUAAGCUCUUAGUUUUUUUUAAUCGAACUCAAUCCAAUCUUGAUGAUGCGAAUCUAGACAGCCACGGCCUAAGUUGUUAACCGCUUUAACCAAGCUCAGUAUUGCCACUAAGUGUUAACCUUCAAGCUUUAAUGUCAGACCUAGUCGAUCGCGGGCCGGCAUAUGUGCCGCGAAUGCCGAAUUCGCACCUGGUAACAGACGAACCCGCGACACUCUGUGUACGCAUGUCACAACGCGGGGAGGGUGAGCAUGAGUCAUGAUUAUCGACCUUGAUGGACGUGGUGCGUGUUCCCAUCCCCAACGUGGUUCUACGGAAUUUCUGUGCGCGAUGGAACAAGGAGCCGCGCGCGAAGCGCACCUCGCAAUAAAGUGAUUGUGAUAAGGGAAGGUUUUUGUUCGAGGCUACCCCUGAGUCAGAACCGUUGAGUCACCGUCAAAACGAUCGAUAUCGUCUAUAUAUAAGCGUCAUAGCGAGUAUCGCGUGCGGUUUCCAUUUCUGCGGAUGAUACUGAAACGGCUAAGCCAAUUGCGACCCGUGACGAUUAUCUCUAGACUUCUGAUUGCUCCUACGACAUUUUCUUAAUCGCAUAUGUCAAAAAUAAUGUGCGAUUGGCGAGUGACGAGAGAACCCAGGCUUGAACAGGCCAGACCUUGCCCCCCUGGUAUUUUAUUGAUCCUAAGAAGGUGAACGACAACUGAUACGCUUAAAUGCUUCCGCGGGCGUAUGCCCCCAAUCCAUUCGUCUCAUUACUGAUGUAAUCGAGCAGUCGAGAGUUAAGAUAUGUCAUUAUGUGCUGAAGCAUUAAGCUUCCAAAAGGUUCCGAUUACAGUGACAGGCGAAAUCGUGCGACUCGCUGCUACUGCAGCAACUUUUUUUUUUUGAGAUCCUGUCUCUCUCAUAUCCAGGACAAGAUUUUGAUAUAUGGCAACUUUCUCGUGAGAUCGAACGAUACGCAGGUUCGACAAUGUUCACAUGCUCGCCGUAAAUGGCUUCGUUUUCCGGAGGUCGCCGAUAUGUAUACAUCGCGACGAAGGAGAACGAAGUUAAUAAGUCGCUCGACAUCCAAUUCGGAGGCGGAGGCAGGAUUACAUUUACUAUCACCUUGGAACAGAAGAGAGUGCGUUCAUGAAUCCCUGUUAAGCAUCUUCGAUGUAUAUAACAGAAUCCAACAGUUUAUCACGUAAUUAUAACGUAGAUUAAGAUUGGAA